rnacentral:rRNA from 1 species
GAUGAACGCUGGCGGCGUGCCUAAUACAUGCAAGUCGAGCGAACGGACGAGAAGCUUGCUUCUCUGAUGUUAGCGGCGGACGGGUGAGUAACACGUGGAUAACCUACCUAUAAGACUGGGAUAACUUCGGGAAACCGGAGCUAAUACCGGAUAAUAUUUUGAACCGCAUGGUUCAAAAGUGAAAGACGGUCUUGCUGUCACUUAUAGAUGGAUCCGCGCUGCAUUAGCUAGUUGGUAAGGUAACGGCUUACCAAGGCAACGAUGCAUAGCCGACCUGAGAGGGUGAUCGGCCACACUGGAACUGAGACACGGUCCAGACUCCUACGGGAGGCAGCAGUAGGGAAUCUUCCGCAAUGGGCGAAAGCCUGACGGAGCAACGCCGCGUGAGUGAUGAAGGUCUUCGGAUCGUAAAACUCUGUUAUUAGGGAAGAACAUAUGUGUAAGUAACUGUGCACAUCUUGACGGUACCUAAUCAGAAAGCCACGGCUAACUACGUGCCAGCAGCCGCGGUAAUACGUAGGUGGCAAGCGUUAUCCGGAAUUAUUGGGCGUAAAGCGCGCGUAGGCGGUUUUUUAGUCUGAUGUGAAAGCCCACGGCUCGACCGUGGAGGGUCAUUGGAAACUGGAAAACUUGAGUGCAGAAGAGGAAAGUGGAAUUCCAUGUGUAGCGGUGAAAUGCGCAGAGAUAUGGAGGAACACCAGUGGCGAAGGCGACUUUCUGGUCUGUAACUGACGCUGAUGUGCGAAAGCGUGGGGAUCAAACAGGAUUAGAUACCCUGGUAGUCCACGCCGUAAACGAUGAGUGCUAAGUGUUAGGGGGUUUCCGCCCCCUUAGUGCUGCAGCUAACGCAUUAAGCACUCCGCCUGGGGAGUACGACCGCAAGGUUGAAACUCAAAGGAAUUGGCGGGGACCCGCACAAGCGGUGGAGCAUGUGGUUUAAUUCGAAGCAACGCGAAGAACCUUACCAAAUCUUGACAUCCUUUGACAACUCUAGAGAUAGAGCCUUCCCCUUCGGGGGACAAAGUGACAGGUGGUGCAUGGUUGUCGUCAGCUCGUGUCGUGAGAUGUUGGGUUAAGUCCCGCAACGAGCGCAACCCUUAAGCUUAGUUGCCAUCAUUAAGUUGGGCACUCUAAGUUGACUGCCGGUGACAAACCGGAGGAAGGUGGGGAUGACGUCAAAUCAUCAUGCCCCUUAUGAUUUGGGCUACACACGUGCUACAAUGGACAAUACAAAGGGCAGCGAAACCGCGAGGUCAAGCAAAUCCCAUAAAGUUGUUCUCAGUUCGGAUUGUAGUCUGCAACUCGACUACAUGAAGCUGGAAUCGCUAGUAAUCGUAGAUCAGCAUGCUACGGUGAAUACGUUCCCGGGUCU